UUAAGCGACUAAGCGUACACGGUGGAUGCCCUGGCAGUCAGAGGCGAUGAAGGACGUGCUAAUCUGCGAAAAGCGUCGGUAAGGUGAUAUGAACCGUUAUAACCGGCGAUGUCCGAAUGGGGAAACCCAGUGCAAUUCGUUGCACUAUCGUUAACUGAAUACAUAGGUUAACGAGGCGAACCGGGGGAACUGAAACAUCUAAGUACCCCGAGGAAAAGAAAUCAACCGAGAUUCCCCCAGUAGCGGCGAGCGAACGGGGAGCAGCCCAGAGUCUGAAUCAGCUUGUGUGUUAGUGGAACGGUCUGGAAAGUCCGACGGUACAGGGUGAUAGUCCCGUACACCAAAAUGCACAGGUUGUGAACUCGAAGAGUAGGGCGGGACACGUGGUAUCCUGUCUGAAUAUGGGGGGACCAUCCUCCAAGGCUAAAUACUCCUGACUGACCGAUAGUGAACCAGUACCGUGAGGGAAAGGCGAAAAGAACCCCGGCGAGGGGAGUGAAAAAGAACCUGAAACCGUGUACGUACAAGCAGUGGGAGCACCUUCGGGUGUGACUGCGUACCUUUUGUAUAAUGGGUCAGCGACUUAUAUUCUGUAGCAAGGUUAACCGUAUAGGGGAGCCGCAGGGAAACCGAGUCUUAACUGGGCGUUAAGUUGCAGGGUAUAGACCCGAAACCCGGUGAUCUAGCCAUGGGCAGGUUGAAGGUUGGGUAACACUAACUGGAGGACCGAACCGACUAAUGUUGAAAAAUUAGCGGAUGACUUGUGGCUGGGGGUGAAAGGCCAAUCAAACCGGGAGAUAGCUGGUUCUCCCCGAAAGCUAUUUAGGUAGCGCCUCGUGAACUCAUCUUCGGGGGUAGAGCACUGUUUCGGCUAGGGGGUCAUCCCGACUUACCAACCCGAUGCAAACUACGAAUACCGAAGAAUGUUAUCACGGGAGACACACGGCGGGUGCUAACGUCCGUCGUGAAGAGGGAAACAACCCAGACCGCCAGCUAAGGUCCCAAAGUCAUGGUUAAGUGGGAAACGAUGUGGGAAGGCACAGACAGCCAGGAUGUUGGCUUAGAAGCAGCCAUCAUUUAAAGAAAGCGUAAUAGCUCACUGGUCGAGUCGGCCUGCGCGGAAGAUGUAACGGGGCUAAACCAUGCACCGAAGCUGCGGCAGCGACACUAUGUGUUGUUGGGUAGGGGAGCGUUCUGUAAGCCUGCGAAGGUGUGCUGUGAGGCAUGCUGGAGGUAUCAGAAGUGCGAAUGCUGACAUAAGUAACGAUAAAGCGGGUGAAAAGCCCGCUCGCCGGAAGACCAAGGGUUCCUGUCCAACGUUAAUCGGGGCAGGGUGAGUCGACCCCUAAGGCGAGGCCGAAAGGCGUAGUCGAUGGGAAACAGGUUAAUAUUCCUGUACUUGGUGUUACUGCGAAGGGGGGACGGAGAAGGCUAUGUUAGCCGGGCGACGGUUGUCCCGGUUUAAGCAUGUAGGCUGGUUAUCCAGGCAAAUCCGGAUAAUCAAGGCUGAGGUGUGAUGACGAGGCACUACGGUGCUGAAGUAACAAAUGCCCUGCUUCCAGGAAAAGCCUCUAAGCAUCAGGUAACAUUAAAUCGUACCCCAAACCGACACAGGUGGUCAGGUAGAGAAUACCAAGGCGCUUGAGAGAACUCGGGUGAAGGAACUAGGCAAAAUGGUGCCGUAACUUCGGGAGAAGGCACGCUGGUGUGUAGGUGAAGUCCCUGCGGAUGGAGCUGAGACCAGUCGAAGAUACCAGCUGGCUGCAACUGUUUAUUAAAAACACAGCACUGUGCAAACACGAAAGUGGACGUAUACGGUGUGACGCCUGCCCGGUGCCGGAAGGUUAAUUGAUGGGGUUAUCCGUAAGGAGAAGCUCUUGAUCGAAGCCCCGGUAAACGGCGGCCGUAACUAUAACGGUCCUAAGGUAGCGAAAUUCCUUGUCGGGUAAGUUCCGACCUGCACGAAUGGCGUAAUGAUGGCCAGGCUGUCUCCACCCGAGACUCAGUGAAAUUGAACUCGCUGUGAAGAUGCAGUGUACCCGCGGCAAGACGGAAAGACCCCGUGAACCUUUACUAUAGCUUGACACUGAACAUUGAGCCUUGAUGUGUAGGAUAGGUGGGAGGCUUUGAAGCGUGGACGCCAGUCUGCGUGGAGCCAACCUUGAAAUACCACCCUUUAAUGUUUGAUGUUCUAACGUUGGCCCCUGACCGGGGUUGCGGACAGUGUCUGGUGGGUAGUUUGACUGGGGCGGUCUCCUCCCAAAGCGUAACGGAGGAGCACGAAGGUUAGCUAAUCCUGGUCGGACAUCAGGAGGUUAGUGCAAUGGCAUAAGCUAGCUUGACUGCGAGCGUGACGGCGCGAGCAGGUGCGAAAGCAGGUCAUAGUGAUCCGGUGGUUCUGAAUGGAAGGGCCAUCGCUCAACGGAUAAAAGGUACUCCGGGGAUAACAGGCUGAUACCGCCCAAGAGUUCAUAUCGACGGCGGUGUUUGGCACCUCGAUGUCGGCUCAUCACAUCCUGGGGCUGAAGUAGGUCCCAAGGGUAUGGCUGUUCGCCAUUUAAAGUGGUACGCGAGCUGGGUUUAGAACGUCGUGAGACAGUUCGGUCCCUAUCUGCCGUGGGCGCUGGAGAAUUGAGGGGGGCUGCUCCUAGUACGAGAGGACCGGAGUGGACGCAUCACUGGUGUUCGGGUUGUCAUGCCAAUGGCACUGCCCGGUAGCUAAAUGCGGAAGAGAUAAGUGCUGAAAGCAUCUAAGCACGAAACUUGCCCCGAGAUGAGUUCUCCCUGAGACUUUAAGUCUCCUGAAGGAACGUUAAAGACGAUGACGUUGAUAGGCCGGGUGUGUAAGCGCAGCGAUGCGUUGAGCUAACCGGUACUAAUGAACCGUGAGGCUUAACCUU
rnacentral:rRNA from 1 species